ensembl:snoRNA
CUGCAUUCACUGAUAGAUCUAUAACAACUUACUAUUAUCCUUUUGGUUUGUACCAGGAUGUAAAAGGAAAAAUCUCUGUGCCUUUGAAUAAAAUAAUACAUCU